UCUUCCCUCUUUCUUCGUGCCUAAUACAUGCAAGUCGAGCGAACAGACGAGGAGCUUGCUCCUCUGACGUUAGCGGCGGACGGGUGAGUAACACGUGUAUAACCUACCUAUAAGACUGGGAUCACUUCGGGAAACCGGAUCUAAUACCGUAUAACAUGUUGAACCGCAUGGUUUAACAGUGAAAGACGGUCUUGCUGUCACUUAUAGAUGGAUCCGCGCCGCAUUAGCUAGUUGGUAAGGUAACGGCUUACCCAGGCAACGAUGCGUAGCCGACCUGAGAGGGUGAUCGGCCACCCUAGAACGGAGACACGGUCCAGAGUCCUACGGUAGGCCGCAGUAGGGAAUCUGCCGCAAUGGGCGAGAGCCUUACGGAGCAGGGCCGCGUGAGUGGAAAAGGUGUUCGGAUCGUAAAACUCUGUUAUUAGGGAAGAACAAAUGUGUAAGUAACUAUGCACGUCUUGACGGUACCUAGUCAGAAAGCCACGGCUAACUACGUG
rnacentral:rRNA from 1 species